rnacentral:rRNA from 1 species
UACGUAGGGUGCGAGCGUUGUCCGGAUUUAUUGGGCGUAAAGAGCUCGUAGGCGGUUUGUCGCGUCGGCCGUGAAAUCUCCACGCUUAACGUGGAGCGUGCGGUCGAUACGGGCAGACUUGAGUUCGGUAGGGGAGACUGGAAUUCCUGGUGUAGCGGUGAAAUGCGCAGAUAUCAGGAGGAACACCGGUGGCGAAGGCGGGUCUCUGGGCCGAUACUGACGCUGAGGAGCGAAAGCGUGGGGAGCGAACAGGAUUAGAUACCUAGUAGUCC